rnacentral:lncRNA from 1 species
CCACAUUGCAUUAAGUGGAUUUUACUAACUAGCAUAACAUUACCUUUUUUUUUUUUUUUUUUAAGGUAGGUAAGAGUUCACAGAUAUGUAGCAGAGUCAUGUGGAUUAAAUGAUUAAUUUUUACAUUACAUGCUAAAUAACCCAAUAGAAAUGCUUCAAAAUGAUAUAAAGGUUUUAACUGCUUAUUUAAUUUUGUCCCGCCUUUUUGGGUGAGUCUCUAUCAGACUGUUAUUGUUGAUUAUUUAGAUGAUUCGUUCACAUUACAGAAGUACAGCACAUUGAACAGCUCCAUAUAUAGUACAUUUAUUAGAGGCUGGGAGCACCACCAUUUAGUGACGCACAUGCUCUGAUACACUUACUUAAAUUAUCUGAUAAGCAAGAAAACAAUGUGUCUGUAGGAAUGACUAUCUGAAAAUCUAUAAUAAAUUAUCUGGACAUUUUUUCUAAAGUCUCCAAAGCCUUCUCCCAUCCCUGCAUGGUAUCCCAGCACCUUCAUUCGUCCCAUCCCGGCCUCCAAGUCUCCCACUGCUACACGUUCCAGGCGUGUCCGUAGAGUCCAGGUGGUGAUUAAAGAGGCAGAGCCUUCUUGCAGGCUGGACUCUACAGGGCUGACGCCUGAGUUUAACCAUGGUCCAACUGCACAGGCUGUGGAUGGCUUGGACCAUGAUGUAGAGGGCUUUGGUGGUAGGUAGUACUCUAGGGGAGAGACGAUGUUAGAGCCAGUUCCCAAAUUACAGUGCCAGGAAGCACACACGGGAGACAAAUUGGAUCACCCAGUCCUGCUGGUUGGAGAGGCACGCCCUCUCCACAGACUGGACUUUCAGGACACAGAGCCUGAAUUUGAGCCAGUGCCAGCUGCACAGGAUAUCGAGGAUAUCAUCAUAGAGGAUGUUGUGGAGGAGGUCGAUGUGGAGGUCCUGGUGUUACAGGAAGAUAGGCCAGAUUGUAAAGGCCAAGGGGAGGCUUUUGAGAAAGCUCCCAAAACAAAGAGAGGGUGGCUACAGAGGAUACAGUUCUUCUUCAGCUGCUUCCCAAAAAUCAGGAGAAGAUAGCGGAAGGAAAACUUUGCUCGUUAGAAUGGGCAGAAUGAUAGAUACACACACACACAUACAUGCAUAUAUUUAUAAUGUACAUAUACAUUUACAAACAUAUAUACACUUACAAUGAUAGAUGCAUAUACACAUACCGGUACAUAGAGAGAUACUUACACUUGUACAUACUUUUUUUAAUCCUGUAAAUAAUUAAGGAUGAAUAAUUAUAAUAUAUUUGUUAUUAGGAUCAUUAUUAUAUGUUUUAUAUUAAAUAUUAAUAUUUAUUAACAGGAUGGAUAAUUAUAAUAUAUUUAUAUUAUAGGAUAAUAUAUGUAUUAUUUAUAUGAUUUAUUUUAUUUUUAUAUAGAUUAUAUAUAUAGAAAAUUAACAUUUUAUAUAUUUAUACAUACAUUUUAUAUGUUCUAUAUUUUUCACCCCCACCCGUUCUCCAUCCUCUGUCUCACUUUUCACCCAACCCCCACCCACCUCCCACCCUUCCCUCCCUAUUCACCCCACACUUUCUCCCCACCAUCUCCAUUCUCUCUCCUG